rnacentral:rRNA from 3 species
GACCUCAAAUCAGGUAGGACUACCCGCUGAACUUAAGCAUAUCAA